rnacentral:rRNA from 1 species
AGCGGCAGGCUUAACACAUGCAAGUCGAGGGGUAACAGGUAGCUUGCUAUGCUGACGACCGGCGAACGGGUGCGUAACGCGUAUAGAAUCUGCCUUGUACAGGAGGAUAGCCUUUAGAAAUGAAGAUUAAUACUCCAUAAUGUUAAUGAAUGGCAUCAUUUAUUAAUUAAACAUUUAUGGGUACAAGAUGACUAUGCGUCCUAUUAGCUAGAUGGUAAGGUAACGGCUUACCAUGGCAACGAUAGGUAGGGGGUCUGAGAGGAUUAUCCCCCACACUGGUACUGAGACACGGACCAGACUCCUACGGGAGGCAGCAGUGAGGAAUAUUGGUCAAUGGAGGCAACUCUGAACCAGCUAUGCCGCGUGCAGGAUGACUGCCCUAUGGGUUGUAAACUGCUUUUAUACAGGAAGAAACCGAUCUACGUGUAGAUCCUUGACGGUACUGUAAGAAUAAGGACCGGCUAACUCCGUGCCAGCAGCCGCGGUAAUACGGAGGGUCCAAGCGUUAUCCGGAAUCAUUGGGUUUAAAGGGUCCGCAGGCGGUCAAUUAAGUCAGAGGUGAAAGCCCAUCGCUCAACGAUGGAACUGCCUUUGAUACUGGUUGACUUGAGUUAUACGGAAGUAGAUAGAAUAAGUAGUGUAGCGGUGAAAUGCAUAGAUAUUACUUAGAAUACCGAUUGCGAAGGCAGUCUACUACGUAUAUACUGACGCUCAUGGACGAAAGCGUGGGGAGCGAACAGGAUUAGAUACCCUGGUAGUCCACGCCGUAAACGAUGGAUACUAGUUGUUGGGUUUCGACUCAGUGACUAAGCGAAAGUGAUA